GAUGAACGCUGGCGGCGUGCCUAAUACAUGCAAGUCGAGCGAACAGACGAGAGUGCUUGCACUCUCUGACGUUAGCGGCGGACGGGUGAGUAACACGUGGGUAACCUACCUAUAAGACUGGGAUAACUUCGGGAAACCGGAGCUAAUACCGGAUAAUAUUUAGCUUCGCAUGAAGCAAUAGUGAAAGACGGUUCUGCUGUCACUUAUAGAUGGACCCGCGGUGUAUUAGCUAGUUGGUGAGGUAACGGCUCACCAAGGCAACGAUACAUAGCCGACCUGAGAGGGUGAUCGGCCACACUGGGACUGAGACACGGCCCAGACUCCUACGGGAGGCAGCAGUAGGGAAUCUUCCGCAAUGGACGAAAGUCUGACGGGGCAAUGCCGCGUGAGUGAAGAAGGUUUUCGGAUCGUAAAACUCUGUUGUAAGGGAAGAACAAGUACGUUAGUAACUGAACGUACCUUGACGGUACCUUACCAGAAAGCCACGGCUAACUACGUG
rnacentral:rRNA from 1 species